AUUUUGGCCCAAAGCAGCACAGGCCUCAGUCACAGAGAAGCAAGUAUUUGCAUGCAAGCUUCCUAUUAAAGCACCAGGGAGAAGAUGGAUAACAAGCUUUAUGGACAGAAGAGACAAAACACUGUCAUGGAUUGUCAUCACACAAUCUGGAUUUUGGCUUUUGCCAUCUCACAGGACAUUAGCAUAGACAAGCAGAUUUGAGCUCUUUGUAGUGCUUUAAUAGCACACAUGAACUGUUAAACAGACCUCUCCAUCUGGGUGGAAAAAUACCACUGAAGCCAAGAGAAAUUCUGAACACAA